CCUACGGGUGGCAGCAGUGAGGAAUAUUGGUCAAUGGGCGGAAGCCUGAACCAGCCAAGUAGCGUGCAGGAUGACGGCCCUACGGGUUGUAAACUGCUUUUAUACGGGAAUAACGCGCCUUACGUGUAGGGCUUUGCAUGUACCGUAAGAAUAAGGACCGGCUAAUUCCAUGCAAGCAGCCGCGGUAAUACGGAAGGUCCGGGCGUUAUCCGGUUUUAUUGGGUUACAGGGGUGCGUAGUCGGUCCGUUAAGUCAGAGGUAAAAUUGCGGGGCUAAAGCCAGUCGAGCCGUUGAAACUGGCAGACUUGAGUUGGCGAGAAGUACGCGGAAUGCGCGGUGUAGCGGUGAAAUGCAUAGAUAUCGCGCAGAACUCCGAUGGCGAAGGCAGCGUACCGGCGCCAGACUGACGCUGAGGCACGAAAGCGUGGGGAUCGAACAGGAUUAGAUACCCGUGUAGUC
rnacentral:rRNA from 1 species